rnacentral:rRNA from 1 species
UACGUAGGGCGCAAGCGUUGUCCGGAAUUAUUGGGCGUAAAGAGCUCGUAGGCGGUUUGUCGCGUCUGCUGUGAAAACCCGAGGCUCAACCUCGGGCCUGCAGUGGGUACGGGCAGACUAGAGUGCGGUAGGGGAGAUUGGAAUUCCUGGUGUAGCGGUGGAAUGCGCAGAUAUCAGGAGGAACACCAAUGGCGAAGGCAGAUCUCUGGGCCGUAACUGACGCUGAGGAGCGAAAGCGUGGGGAGCGAACAGG